CAUCUUCAAGUUUUGAUCACAAAAAUAGAUCACAAGGAGGAAAAUGACAAAAAUGUUUCAUUUAAUAGGCAAAGUACCCUAAUAUCCCAAAUAUCUAAAAAAUUAAAAAGAAUUAAAAAAAUUACAAAAUAUGUAUUUUUUAUAGUUUUAGAUUAUAUGUUUUUAAAUUCAAACUUUUUACAUUUUUUUAUUUUUAUUUUUGUUUUUCAAAUUUUCUUUUUGUAAUUUGAAAAUACUUUUUGAAACUAUUUUUAAAAUUUUUAUUUUCAAAUUUUUAAUAUUUAUUUUUUAUUUUAUAAAAUUUUAAAUCUCAAUCUCAAAUCCUCACCCCUUAACUCUAAACCCUAAAGUUUGGAUUAGUUAACCCUAAGGGUAUAAAUGUAUAUUUACCUCUUUAAUGAAACAUUUUGGUCAUUUUGAUCUUUGGAGUCUAUAUUUGUGACAAAAACUUUUUUAGUGCUAUCUUAGGGUAUUUCUCUAUGUAUAAUCUCAAAUAGUAAACAUCAUAUCAAAUAAGUUCUAAAUUUUUAGAAAUAGAUUAAUGAAAGACAUCUGUGGGAACUCUUUUUUAGUUUUUUUUUUUUAUUAGUGAUCUACUACCACGUAUCCGAUUCUAAUUUUCAUUAUAAUCAUUAACAGAACCGUGAAGAAUUAAUAGUAAGGGGAAUUUCCUUAAUUAUUUGAGCUAUCAAGGAGGAGAAAUAGGAGUUACACGAGAAAAUAUAUAUAUUUAUCUCUACAAAAGGAUUAUUUUCGUCGAUAAAACGAC
rnacentral:lncRNA from 1 species